AACAGGGAAGCCGAAAACUGUAUAGAGUAGGCA
rfam:Filimonas lacunae strain DSM 21054 genome assembly, contig: Ga0111651_106